GGGGGCGACACGGCUUCGACCGAGUUUUCGGAAGAUCCGGUUGCGUGCCGAGGUUCCUAGGUGGCCUCGUAAAACCCCUAGGACACACGUAUUUGCCACUCCGCAGUACGCACUCGCUGCUUAGUUAAGAGCUAACAGCCUCCCGCUGAGACCCCGCCCAUGGGACGAGGACGGGAGCCAUAAGAUGGGCUGGCUCCAAACCCAGGCUUCUGGGGGGCGGAGCGAGAACUUCGUGAAGCUUUGCUCUCUAGAGCCGCGUCCGCGGGGCUCGAGGGCGAGAACUUCCCGCGUGACUACGCACGUAGACGCCGUUUUGGAAGAGCUUUGGGACCCGGGUUCGACUCCCGGCGCCUCCAUGU
rnacentral:tmRNA from 1 species